CUCUUUUCCCCUGCUUUGUUAACCAUCAGGACCGUUAGGAAGAUCAAAAUUAUUUAUCUAAACAAAGUGAACAGUAAUUUAAGGUUGGUAACAUUAAGUUGAUUUGAAAAAUACUAUGGUACAACGGUGUUAUUAAGAUAAAGUCGUGUUUUGUGAGGGCUGCUAGUUAGCAAUCUAGCUAAUGUGUUAACUUUAGCUAAAUGUUCUUAUUUAAGCCAUAGGAUAUUUCCAGGUACUGUGAGUGGAGGCUUUGGAACCGAACUAGAGAACUGCUGUCACGGCAUGGACAACUUUGACGAUGCCAUACUGUCUGUGUUGCAGGCUGCGAAUAUUGAUGAGGAAACUUUGAGGAGCUUUACCCGGGAUGACCUAAAGGAUCUUUUUCCGGGCCAUGAAAAUUUCUUCCGUAGAAAGAAGAUUUGGGAUUUUAUCAGCCAAAAGUUUAAGAGUACUGACCAAGAUGCCAACACUUUCCAUCGAAGCGAGAGUAACCCCUUAGGCUUUGAUGUGUCACAAUGUCAGCCUCAAACUUCCACUCCCAUUUCCUACACUGCUGACAAAAAAAUGAAAAUGCCAGACCCACCAGAGUAUGUGGUGUAUACAGAUUCAGAGUUGGACAUGGUGCGCAGUCAGUACUUUGCAUUGCUCCACAGUGGAAAGGAAAAGGACUGUAGGAUGUCGAAGGAGCUAUGUUGCAGACUUGUAAGGAACACCGUCACCAGCAUGGUUGCAAUCCUCCGUGCUAGUCCCAUGGGGAAAGAAGUAACAUACCCCUCCAAACUCGAAAUGAGAGCAAUGUCGCAGAAGAUUGUCGACUAUUACCCCAUGUUACGUGAUGCUGACACACACAUGCCAUACCUGACCAUCUACACCAAACUGUACAAACGACUCCAAAAUAUGAAGUCUCCAAGGAAGAGGCAGGGCUCCAUGCCACAACGAGGCAGGCCCAGGAAGACUCUUUUCAGCUCAGAUGACACAGACAACGGGACUGAAGGUGACCUAAGUGGUGAAGCAAGUGGUUCAAGUGACUAUACCAUACUUCUUGAGAGCAAUGAUGACCUCAGUGAGGAUAACUCAAAUGCAGAGAAAGAAUCCCAAUUGCCGCUACCCUCCACUGUACCAACUACGUCAAACAAUACUACCCUGGCUUUACCACUAUUAUCCAAGUCAGCCUCAUGCUCUGCACCCAGGGCUGAUAUAGGUCCUUCAACUGCACCUCCAGAUGAUGUUGUUGCAGACCAUGACAGCCUGAAGAUGCAGGCAAGACAUUACAAAACCUUGAGCAACAUGUACAGGAAACCCAAUGCAAAACCCAACCAAAGUGACGUUGCUCAAAUUUUGGACCUGGAGUUUGAGGCCAGACGAACUUUUAUUGACGCAGAUAUUACAAGGGCAGAAGACAGGCCCAGAAAAAUAUUUGAAGCAUACCCGUGCUUCAAAGACAUACAAAAUGCGAUGGAUGAACUGCGUCGCAUCAUUGGUGGCUCCAACUGCAAAUACAUAGAUCAAAUGAAGGGUCGAUGGGCAGAGUUUUGUUCGAAAGUGCAGUUCUAUGGCAUUUGGAAGAAGGUCCUGAAACCUCCUCUCCCCUUGGAUGUACGUGGAGUGGAUUUUACUGUCACUCUCUUCAAUGCACUUCCAUCUCUUUUUCCUUCAAAAACUACACCACCAAAGCGGCUGGGAAGUGCCAGUGAGGCUCUCCUUCAUAUCCUCAAGCCAGGUGAAGAUGCAAUGCUAUACCUGGAGAAGCGGCCUCUCUCCUCCCCAGUGCUGCUUUUUGAUGGAACAACCAGCAUUGUUGCUGUAGGAAACAUACCAGUGACCACUCUCCCCUUGGAGGAUUUCUGGGAAGGAAUGUUGGUGUUGAUGGCAUAUUACUACACCUUGCACUUAACAUACCCAAAAUGUGUUGCAACGGUCCUCUCUGUCAUACAAACUGAGGUAAUCACUGAUGCCAUCCAUGAUCAAGAUGCCACUAGUGCAUAUAAGAAAGCAAUAGCUGAGUGGAAGUCGUUCUUUGAAAAAUAGGUGAAUACCAAGCAGGAUUUUAUCAGGUCAUUUGCAGUUUGUUUAGUUUUGUAGUACGUUUGUACAACUUUGUUCCUAAUUUGCCUAGCAAUGUCCUGAGAAACGGCUUUACUUAAGAUGCUUUACAAAUGAAAGUUGUUGUUUUUUUUUUCUUAGUGACACUUUACCUGAGGCAUGUAAAGUUUUAAGUCAGUAGUGCCAUUAUUUAUAACAUUGUGAGACUAUGUGACUGUCACAAAAGUUUAAGGCCAAAAAUGUAACUUCUUUUCUGUGUUUAGGCCUUUUAAAGGGUUGAUUUAGACUUUUAGGGAUUGUGCAGCAGCCCUAUUUUGUUUAAAAAAAAAGGAUUUUGUUCUCAUGAGAGAAAUAAAUGUUGGCAUAUCACUCUUGUCCUGGUUGUGAUUUCAGUAGAAGCCAAGGAGUAGGAAAAAGGUCUGUUUUAAGGUUUUUUUGCCUGGAUUUAAUAUUGAUUCGGCUCUAUUUUAAGAUAAGCCAACCUGAAUCAAGAAACAAAUUAAUCAUAUUUCAC
ensembl:lncRNA